GCUCAUGGCGCGGUCUGCACCCGAAGGUGCAGGCAACACCGUUCAAAUGCUGGGCGUGCCGGGCGCAAGCCCGUCACCAUCAGCAGCCGGCGCUCCGGCGCCCGGCCCACAGAUCAUCCGACGGUGACCUAUCGAGAGGUUAAGAUAUGAUCGGUCCCGGCCCGCUCUGGGCCUUGGGAGGCACGGAACCUGCGGAAGGAUCAUUACCGAGAGACGGGACCUAACCGGUCCCAACUCUUCACCCCUGUCUACCAAAAUAUGUUGCUUUGGCGGGCCAACCGGCCUCCUCGGGGAAGGCCAACCCCUUCUCGUGCCCGCCAAAGGCCUUCAAUAAACCCUGUGAUCAGUGUCGUCCGAGUAAAAACAAUCGUUAAAACUUUCAACAACGGAUCUCUUGGUUCCGGCGUCGAUGAAGAACGCAGCGAAAUGCGAAAAGUAAUGUGAAUUGCAGAAUUCCGCGAAUCAUCGAAUCUUUGAACGCACAUUGCGCCCUUUGGUAUUCCGAAGGGCAUGCCUGUUCGAGCGUCAUUGCACCCCUCAAGCACUGCUUGGUAUUGGGCUU
rnacentral:misc_RNA from 1 species